GUUUCUAUGGUGUAAACGCACAUUAGAUUUUCAUUCUAAAGGAAUAAAGCUAUUUAUUAGAAAUA
rnacentral:tRNA from 1 species